UACGAAGGGGGCUAGCGUUGUUCGGAAUCACUGGGCGUAAAGCGCACGUAGGCGGAUCUUUAAGUCAGGGGUGAAAUCCCGAGGCUCAACCUCGGAACUGCCUUUGAUACUGGGGAUCUCGAGUCCGGGAGAGGUGAGUGGAACUGCGAGUGUAGAGGUGAAAUUCGUAGAUAUUCGCAAGAACACCAGUGGCGAAGGCGGCUCACUGGCCCGGAACUGACGCUGAGGUGCGAAAGCGUGGGGAGCGAUCCGG
rnacentral:rRNA from 1 species